AUAUUAAUCAGCCGAGGAAAAGAAACUAACAAGGAUUCCCUCAGUAACGGCGAGUGAAGCGGGAAGAGCUCAAAUUUUAAAUCUUGUCGGCUUGCCGGCACGAGUUGUAGUUUAAAGAAGCAUUUUCGGCCUCCGUCCGGGUAGAACUCCUUUGGAACAGGGGAUCACAGAGGGUGAGAAUCCCGUCCGUGACCCGGGUUCGGUAGCUAUGUGAUAUGCUCUCGAAGAGUCGAGUUGUUUGGGAUUGCAGCUCAAAGUGGGAGGUAUAUUUCUCCUAAGGCUAAAUACAGGCGAGAGACCGAUAGCGCACAAGUA
rnacentral:rRNA from 1 species